GAUGAACGCUGGCGGCGGGCCUAAUACAUGCAAGUCGAACGAACAGACGGAGCUCUUGCUCCACGGACGUGAGCCACGGGUGGGUAAGUCGUACGUAAAUAACCUACAUAUAAGACUUAGAUAACCUCGGGAAAGCGUAAGUACGACCAAAAACUCAAUUAAACCGCAUGGAUCAAUAAUAUAAGAAUAUUUUACUGAUGCUUAUAGAGGACAUCGCGCCGCUUUAGCUAGUAGGGAUGGUAACGGCUAACCAAGGCAAGGAUGCGUAGCCGAUCGGAGAGGGUGAGCGGCCACACUGGAACUGAGACAAGGUCCAGACUCCUACGGGAGGCAGGAGUAGGGAAUCUUCCGCAAUGGGCGAAAGCCUGCCGGAGCAACGCCGCGUGAGUGAUGAAGGGCUUCGGAUCGUAAAACUCUGUUAUUAGGGAAGAACAAAUAUGUAAGUAACUAUGCACGUCUUGACGGUACCUAAUCAGAAAGCCACGGCUAACUACGUG
rnacentral:rRNA from 1 species